GUUUCAGCCGCCGCGGUAAGACAGAGGUGGCUAGCGUUGUUCGGAUUUAUUGGGCGUAAAGCGCACGCAGGCGGUUUGGUAAGUCAGAGGUGAAAUUCCGCAGCUUAACUGCGGAACUGCCUUUGAUACUGCCUUUCUCGAGUGCAUGAGGGGGAAGCGGAAUUCCGGGUGUAGAGGUGAAAUUCGUAGAUAUCCGGAGGAACACCGGUGGCGAAGGCGGCUUCCUGGCAUGUAACUGACGCUCAGGUGCGAAAGCGUGGGUAGCAAACAGGAUUAGAAACCCGGGUAGUCC
rnacentral:rRNA from 1 species